UCUUAAAAUGCAUCCAGGCAUAAGAUCUCAAAGUAUCUUAUGUCUUAUGUAUCUUAUGCCUUGUGUCAAAAUUUCAUCUUCGUGCUUAAGUUUAAGUUCCGCUGUUGUCAGCGUGUAUGUACAAUAAUUAUUCACAGCUCAUUAUCAGGCGCAUCUGUAAUGAUGACACUGAGAGAUACUCCUGAGCGCUCGCAAAGUCACUGAAACUGGGCUUCGAGGGUUAAAAAAAAAACUGCAUUCCGAUAAAAUGUUUAGUUAUGUGUAUCGAAAAUGUGUCAGUGAACGUUAAGUGUGCGUUGAGUGUUGAAGUGGUGAAUGGAUCCUUCCAAGAUUUACCUAUCAUCAUGCGAUUUCGGGAUAUCCAUCUCUCCUGCAGGCUAAACAAGUUGUCAAGACACUUUUCGCAAAAAAAUGAAUUGUCAGAAUACACGGGCCAAUCAUGCAGAAAAACAGAGACCUGCAGUUUUUGAAACAAACGGGCAUAAAAAUAAAUGCAUUUUCGAGUGAAAGAAGUUUUCAUGAAUCUAAAUUAAUGUGAUUUUAGCAUCGAUGAAUUUCGUUAAUAAUUUUUUUUUUUUAAAAAACUCAUUUAAAUUGAAAAAUACUGUUUUAAUCAAAUAAUUAUACUUAGAUUAAUUAUAUUUUUGUCCGUGAAUGAAAAAUGAGCCUAAGACAUUUUCUUAAAGUUAAAGAAUUGUUUUUAAAUUUUUUAAAAAAAUAAUAAUUUAAACAUUAUUCUCAUGUGUACUUAUAACUUUGUGCUUUUUAGAGAUCACGUCAAAAUGAAGACACGCCUUCACGCUUGAAAGAUAAUGUGCGCUGAAAUAACGACGAAUAUUCAGCGAUUUUUUUAUAGCGACGAAAUAUUUAGCUAUGCUUCGGGAUUACCCGGUUACUUAAUUAAAUAAUAUGAAUAACGUAACAUUUACCAAUAGAGUAAGACCAAAUAGAAAAAACCGGACUCCUGCUGGCAAUCUCGUAUUAAUCAAAAUUAUAGAACAGACUAGAAAAAACUCCGCGACACUUCGCUAAUUUUCUACGAAUAUUAAUAAGGUCAAAUAUUCGUGUCUAAUAAUACGGCAAGUUAAGAGAGUAAUGGGGAGCCCAUUAUUAACCAAAAUGCAUAAGCUGACGCUGUUGCCAAACGGUUAGCAACUGUGACUGAUUUAAUUACUGUAUAUCUUGUUAAGUAAUAUCUUUCACUCCUUUCUCUCUCUUCCUUUCGACCUCUAAAUGAUGAAGAUCCCUACAUGUAGUUUUUUUAUUUGUGCGAUUUUUUAAAUUAUUUUUACAAGCUGAAAAUGAAGGCUCUGUCUUCUCCAUCUUAAAAUUUGCGAGAAAUUUUUUAUGAUAUGGUCAAAUGUAUGUUAUGUACUUACACUCCUUAAAAUGUCAUGAUUUCAACCGGUCUUUCUUUUGCUCCACAUGUAUAUAGUUACAAUGAUAUAGGUUUGAAAUGAGCCCUAUAUCGCACCCAGCAUUUCUUUCCAUUUUCUUUAACUGUGGGAUUUAUCAGAGGAGAAAAAAUGCUCAGUGUAUUUCACAUUCAUGAUCCCUUACAUUUCUCCCUUUUUUGAUACGAUACAUUAUGAUUUUUUACAUCCGGCAGCCAUCAUUUUACAGUGAAGCUGUUUGUCAUCACUAAGACUACUAGAUUUAUUUGUCGCCUUCAAAAUGGAAUGAUAUUUUUAUUUUUUCGAAAUCCUGCGUCCUAAUCCUUGCCAUUUACGGUGAAUGUAUUUGAAUAAACUUUUCUGACAGUUUUCACUUAAACCAAUUUGAAGUCAGAGUAAUUUCAGGAGAUACCAACAGUUUUUCAUAGUUUCUCCGCUAUUGGAAUUUUUUCUGUGACAUAUGAACAAUAAAUAAUUUCAUCAUGAGUGGAUAAAAAAAUAACUAACACUAAUUCUACACGCGUAAAAGACUUACCAAUGGAUUGUUCGCGUCCACAGGUGCUACAAGGGAACUUUUUGUGAGAAGUGCAGAAGGGCACCUCAUCAAUUGAGGUCACAGAAAAACAUUUUAUCGAUGGAAGUCCACGGGACCCAACCAGUUCCAAAAAAGGGGUUUGGAGGGACUUCCUCGUUUCCAAAGGGGGCUCUUCGGGCAGCCCCCCAUGUCCCUUGGUUUUGUCCAUGGUUGCAUCGUCAAAUAUAAUAAGGUUUUUGAAAACUUCUCAGAAUUUUGAAAGUUUUGCUAGAUUUCCAAUUGCUUUUACUGAUGCAUUUUUUGCAGUUCCUUCAACGCAAUACGCAAUUGCUGCUUCCAGCGUACUCAAUCCUGACUCCGA
rnacentral:lncRNA from 1 species